rnacentral:rRNA from 1 species
CGUUGUCUGCUAUACGCAGGAAGACCC